CAUAGAAGAGGGCAACGAAACCAUGAAAGCAAUAAAGCACUUAAUUUUCUGCUUCUUAAGGCAAAACAUGAAACAAAUACCUAAUUUAAGUUCAAACUCAUUUCCCUUUUAUUAAAGUACAGGUUACCAUUACAUGGCUUCGUACUCAAUAAAGGAAUACUUGUUCAAAUAAGGUAAUAUGUUAUCAUCAGUAUUUCCAGGUGACUGUUUACACUCAAGUAGCAAUAUCAAUAAAUCCUUGGGAAGCCCAUCUAUGGGGUUUACACUUUGUCAAGGCCCAGUUCCUCUGGAGUGGAGAUUCCCAGUUCAUUUAAAGUUGGUCUAAGUUCCUGGAUGACAUAUGGGUAGAUUUCCUUAUGAGGUCCUGCUUUGUCCU